UACGUAGGGACCAAGCGUUGUUCGGAUUUACUGGGCGUAAAGGGCGCGUAGGCGGCUUAACAAGUCACUUGUGAAAUCUCCGGGCUUAACUCGGAACGGCCAAGUGAAACUGUCAAGCUAGAGUGCAGAAGGGGGCAAUCGGAAUUCUUGGUGUAGCGGUGAAAAUGCGUAGAUAUCAAGAGGAACACCGGUGGCGAAGGCGGUGGUC
rnacentral:rRNA from 1 species